AGUGAACGCUGGCGGUAGGCCUAACACAUGCAAGUCGAACGGCAGCACAGUAAGAGCUUGCUCUUACGGGUGGCGAGUGGCGGACGGGUGAGGAAUACAUCGGAAUCUACUUUUUCGUGGGGGAUAACGUAGGGAAACUUACGCUAAUACCGCAUACGACCUACGGGUGAAAGCAGGGGAUCUUCGGACCUUGCGCGAUUGAAUGAGCCGAUGUCGGAUUAGCUAGUUGGCGGGGUAAAGGCCCACCAAGGCGACGAUCCGUAGCUGGUCUGAGAGGAUGAUCAGCCACACGAGAACUGAAACAAGGUCCAGACUACUACGAGAGGCAGCAGUGGGGAAUAUUGGACAAUGGGCGCAAGCCUGAUCCAGCCAUACCACGUGGGUGGAGAAGGCCUUCGGGUUGGAAAGCCCUUUUGUUGGGAGAGAAAAGCAGCAGGUUAAUACCCCGCUGUUCUGACGGUACCCAAAGAAUAAGCACCGGCUAACUACGUG
rnacentral:rRNA from 1 species